rnacentral:rRNA from 1 species
UACAGAGGUCUCAAGCGUUGGUCGGAUUCAUUGGGCGUAAAGGGUGCGUAGGCGGCGCGGUAAGUCGGAGGUGAAAUCUCGGAGCUUAACUUCGAAACUGCAUUCGAUACUGCCGUGCUUGAGGACUGGAGAGGAGACUGGAAUUUACGGUGUAGCGGUGAAAUGCGUAGAUAUCGUAAGGAAGACCAGUGGCGAAGGCGGGUCUCUGGACAGUUCCUGACGCUGAGGCACGAAGGUCAGGGGAGCAAACGGG